AUGCUUGCUUUGGCAGCACAUAUACUAAAAUUGGAAUCAUACAGAGAUUAGCAUGGUCCCUGCGCAGCGAUGGCACACAAACUUGUGAAGCAUUCCAUAUUUUU
rnacentral:snRNA from 1 species